rnacentral:ncRNA from 2 species
GAAUAUUCAGGGAAUGAUGAUCUCCCAUGGACUUAUCCAAAACCGCUAUUAAGCUAAUGACUUCUACAAGUUU